rnacentral:rRNA from 1 species
GACGAACGCUGGCGGCGUGCUUAACACAUGCAAGUCGAACGGUGAAGCUUCAGCUUGCUGGAGUGGAUCAGUGGCGAACGGGUGAGUAACACGUGAGCAACCUGCCCCUGACUCUGGAAUAAGCGCUGGAAACGGCGUCUAAUACUGGAUACGAGAAGGGUCCGCAUGGGCACUUUCUGGAAAGUUUUUCGGUUGGGGAUGGGCUCGCGGCCUAUCAGCUUGUUGGUGAGGUAAUGGCUCACCAAGGCGACGACGGGUAGCCGGCCUGAGAGGGCGACCGGCCACACUGGGACUGAGACACGGCCCAGACUCCUACGGGAGGCAGCAGUGGGGAAUAUUGCACAAUGGGCGAAAGCCUGAUGCAGCGACGCCGCGUGAGGGAUGACGGCCUUCGGGUUGUAAACCUCUUUCAGCAGGGAAGAAGCGAAAGUGACGGUACCUGCAGAAGAAGCACCGGCUAACUACGUG